UGAUAAAAGCUUUAGGAUGUGAAGUCGUGCAGGAAGAACCAAUCUGUCCAGCUCCAGCUCUCAGGCGUUCUGUGGGUAUUUCUGCUCUGACGGACAAGUGACAGCUUCUCAUCGCAGACCUCAGUGUGACACAACGACUCCGAGCUCCACAGACGCACAACAGUCUAAUACUAGGUAGUCAAGAUGUCAACGGCGGUCACCGAACAGCCCCAGCCUCAGAUGGCUUCCCAGCCGCGGCCUCGGAGGGGUUCCCACCAGUCGGACGAGUCUAAAUUGGGAUGUGACUGCGCCAGUUGCUGCGCAAAAUGCUGCAAGGGUUUCUGCUGUUUUCUGUGCAAAGUAAUUCCACAAAUUUUAAGUGAAGAACCUGAAGGUUAAGAACCUGAAGAUGAAGAACCUUAAGAUGAAAAACCUGAAGAUGAAGAACCUGAAGAUGAAGAACCUGAAGAUGAGUAGUAGGAUUUGGGGUUAGGGUACGAGUGUGGACGAUUCCAUCGACAAGUAAUCACCAACUAACAUAUUUAUUAAAGCCCUUUGCUUCUUCCUGUUAUUAUAAUGAUGUUCAUCAGUCA